rnacentral:rRNA from 1 species
UACGUAGGGUGCAAGCGUUGUCCGGAAUUAUUGGGCGUAAAGAGCUCGUAGGCGGUCUGUCGCGUCGGCUGUGAAAACCCGAGGCUCAACCUCGGGCCUGCAGUCGAUACGGGCAGACUAGAGUGUGGUAGGGGAGACUGGAAUUCCUGGUGUAGCGGUGAAAUGCGCAGAUAUCAGGAGGAACACCGGUGGCGAAGGCGGGUCUCUGGGCCGAUACUGACGCUGAGGAGCGAAAGCGUGGGGAGCGAACAGG